GAUGAACGCUGGCGGCGUGCCUAAUACAUGCAAGUCGAGCGAAUGGAUUAAGAGCUUGCUCUUAUGAGGUUAGCGGCGGACGGGUGAGUAACACGUGGGUAACCUGCCCAUAAGACUGGGAUAACUCCGGGAAACCGGGGCUAAUACCGGAUAGCAUUUUGAACCGCAUGGUUCGAAAUUGAAAGGCGGCUUCGGCUGUCACUUAUGGAUGGACCCGCGUCGCAUUAGCUAGUUAGUGAGGUAACGGCUCACCAAGGCAACGAUGCGUAGCCGACCUGAGAGGGUGAUCGGCCACACUGGGACUGAGACACGGCCCAGACUCCUACGGGAGGCAGCAGUAGGGAAUCUUCCGCAAUGGACGAAAGUCUGACGGAGCAACGCCGCGUGAGUGACGAAGGCUUUCGGGUCGUAAAACUCUGUUGUUAGGGAAGAACAAGUGCUAGUUGAAUAAGCUGACACCUUGACGGUACCUAACCAGAAAGCCACGGCUAACUACGUGCCAGCCGCCGCAGUAA
rnacentral:rRNA from 1 species